GCUCGCUUCGGCAGCACAUAUACUAAAAUUGGAACGAUACAGAGAAGAUUAGCAUGGCCCCUGCGCCUAUACUUUUUUAUAUAGGAGAAUGACCUCUGACAAUU